UAAAUCAGUUACAUAUCGGGCUCAUAUAACGGCACACAUCUUUUUAUAACCCCACGAUCAUCAUGAUCCGCUGAUCGGAAGAUCCAUGUAUAAUGCUGUGGUGCAAAGUCGGCCGAUGGCGAGUGCUUCGUAGCGCCCGAGUCAAAGCCAAAGCUAAAGCCAUCCAUCCAUCCAGGACAGAGGCGGCCAGAUUCAAGAGGAGUUGGCCAAGGGGAGGCAACUGUCUGUAAAUUAACGCGGGCGUUAAAAUUGCAAUUUUUCACUUAAUGCACACACUGAGACAACGACAACAAGAACAACCGACUGCAACUGCAACUGCAGCUAAAUCAUAUUUAUGAGCUCGCCUCUCGACCGUCGCCGCCUCAGUCAAAUAUUUGUAGAUUUUAUUUAUGGCCAAGAGCGGGCCAGCAACAAUCAGCAGCAUACACACAAAAUUUAUUAGCCAAGUUGAACUUUUUUCGGUUGAACACAACUCUCAGCGCCUCGUGCUGAUCAUUCUGGGGGGCGUCGUUUCAGCCUUUUGGCCAAGGUGACUGAUCAUCUUGGUCUAAUGUGUCAAGUGGUUGCCAGAGCUUUGAAUAAUAAAUAAUUGUUUAUAAUGUA